CCAGCUUUGUGGGAGCCAAGCAGAAGAGAAGCCAAUCCAUAGAGCAUCCGUCCUCCCCCAUCACUAGGAGGUUCCUUGGCCUCCCUGCUGAUCCCUUCCCUUGGCCUGACCCCCACAUCUCUCUGUGCCAGAUACUCUCCCGGGGUCCCAACCCUUGCGCCUCUGGCAAAAAUGGGGCAGUGAGUCAGAGACAGCAUGAACAUGUGGAAGAACCAAGAGAAAGAGAAGACUCAGCAGGCCAGAAAGCCUGUCCCAUUGGCAGUAGCCAAGAGACAAAGAAUAGAAUGGAGAUCCACCUUUGUAACCCCCAGAAGCAAUCCAGGCCCAGCCCCAGCAAAGCGAGGACUGUCUUGGCCACAGCCUGCCAAUCCCAGCUGCCUAUCCCUGGGCACAUGAAGGGCUCAGCCCCUGGCCUGCCUACCAAUCCCAGCC